rnacentral:rRNA from 1 species
AUUUAAAAUGUAUUUAUAAAUACUAAAGUAGUAUUAGUUAUGUUCUUGAAACUUAAAAAAUUUGGCGGUAUUUUAGUCUAUUCAGAGGAACCUGUUCUAUAAUCGAUAAUCCACGAUGGACCUUACUUAAAUUUGUUAAUCAGUUUAUAUACCGUCGUUAUUAGAAUAUUUUAUAAGAAUAAUAAUUUUCAUAAAAUUUAAUUAAAACAUAUAUCAGAUCAAGGUGUAGCUUAUGUUUAAGUAGAAAUGGGUUACAAUAAAUUUAUUUAUACGGACGUAAAUAUGAAAAAUUUACUGAAGGUGGAUUUGAUAGUAAAAUUAUAAAGAUUAAUAAUUUGAUUUUAGCUCUAAAAUAUGU